UCGACUCGUGUCGUGAGAUGUUGGGUUAAGUCCCGCAACGAGCGCAACCCUUGUCCUUAGUUGCCACCAUUCAGUUGGGCACUCUAAGGAGACUGCCGGUGUUAAACCGGAGGAAGGUGGGGAUGACGUCAAGUCCUCAUGGCCCUUAUAUCCAGGGCUACACACGUGCUACAAUGGCCGGUACAAAGGGUCGCAAUACCGCGAGGUGGAGCUAAUCCCAAAAAGCCGGUCUCAGUUCGGAUUGGAGUCUGCAACUCGACUCCAUGAAGUCGGAAUCGCUAGUAAUCGUGGAUCAGCAUGUCACGGUGAAUACGUUCCCGGGUCUU
rnacentral:rRNA from 1 species